rnacentral:rRNA from 1 species
UGCCAGCAUCCGCUGUACUCCUGAUGGUGCAAUCGUUAUCCGGAUUUAUUGGGUUUAAAGGGUCCGUAGGCGGAUCAUUAAGUCAGUGGUGAAAGCCGGCAGCUCAACUGUCGAACUGCCAUUGAUACUGAUGAUCUUGAAUAUUGUUGAAGUUGGCGGAAUAGGUCAUGUAGCGGUGAAAUGCUUAGAUAUGACCUAGAACACCGAUUGCGAAGGCAGCCAACUAAGCAGUUAUUGACGCUGAGGGACGAAAGCGUGGGGAGCGAACAGGAUUAGAUA